rnacentral:lncRNA from 1 species
GCUACCCAACCUGGGUGCAUCAGCAGCUCCUCCUCCACGUCCUCCCUGGACCACAAGCAGAGCCACCCAAAGAAGCUGAGCACAAGCAGCAGCAGUGGCAAGAAGACCUUGAGCAAAAGCCCCUCUCUCCCGUCCAGAGCCAGUGCUGGUAUCUAUGGCUUUUUCAACCAGGCUUUCUUGGUGUUUUUUAUCUUGGUUUGUUUGUAAGUGGAUUUGCUCUUUUUAACGUGUAGAAGGAGCCCUUUACCCUUCUCCGAACCCCCUUCCCUUCCCUUUAGUUGCCCCUUUCCGUCCUUCCCCCCUUU